rnacentral:rRNA from 1 species
GGACGUGAAUUUUGGACAAUGGAGGGCAACCCUGAUCCAGCAAUGCCGCGUGAGUGAAGAAGGCCUUCGGGUUGUAAAGCUCUUUUGUCAGGGAAGAAACGGUAGUAGCGAAUAACUAUUACUAAUGACGGUACCUGAAGAAUAAGCACCGGCUAACUACGUGCCAGCAGCCGCGGUAAAAAAAAAAA